rnacentral:rRNA from 1 species
GUGUCAGCAGCCGCGGUAAUACGUAGGGUGCGAGCGUUAAUCGGAAUUACUGGGCGUAAAGCGUGCGCAGGCGGUGAGCUGUGUCCGAUGUGAAAGCCCCGGGCUUAACCUGGGAAUGGCAUUGGAAACUGGCUCGCUGGAGUGUGGCAGAGGGGGGUGGAAUUCCGCGUGUAGCAGUGAAAUGCGUAGAGAUGCGGAGGAACACCGAUGGCGAAGGCAGCCCCCUGGGCUAACACUGACGCUCAGGCACGAAAGCGUGGGGAGCAAACAGGAUUAGAUACCCCCGUAGUCC